GAUGAAGAACGUAGCGAAAUGCGAUAAGUAAUGUGAAUUGCAGAAUUCAGUGAAUCAUCGAAUCUUUGAACGCACAUUGCGCCCGCCAGUAUUCUGGCGGGCAUGCCUGUCUGAGCGUCAUUUCAACCCUCAUGCCCCUAGGGCGUGGUGUUGGGGAUCGGCCAAAGCCCGCGAGGGACGGCUGGCCCCUAAAUCUAGUGGCGGACCCGUCGUGGCCUCCUCUGCGAAGUAGUGAUAUUCCGCAUCGGAGAGCGACGAGCCCCUGCCGUUAAACCCCCAACUUUCCAAGGUUGACCUCAGAUCAGGUAGGAAUACCCGCUGAACUUAAGCAUAUCAAUAAGCGGAGGA
rnacentral:misc_RNA from 1 species